rnacentral:lncRNA from 1 species
CGAGCCAAGGAUGUCGCUGCCGAGAAGGCUGGCCAGGCGAAGGAUUCCACCUAUGAUACGGCUGCUCGAGCCAAGGAUGUUACUGCCGAGAAGGCUGGCCAGGCGAAAGAUACCACAUAUGAUUCGGCUGCUCGAGCAAAGGAUGUUACUGCCGAGAAGGCUGGCCAGGCGAAAGAUGCCACCUAUGAUUCGGCUACUCGAGCAAAGGAUGUCACUGCCGAGAAGGCUGGCCAGGCGAAAGAUUCCACCUAUGAUUCGGCUGCUCGAGCAAAGGAUGUCACUGCCGAGAAGGCUGCCCGUGCUCAAGACACGACGAAGGUAUGGUGUUUUGUACUCCUGUUGUUUUGUAUUGAGCGAUUCUUUUGUAUUUCUCAG